rnacentral:rRNA from 1 species
AUUGAACGCUGGCGGCAGGCUUAACACAUGCAAGUCGAGCGGGGUGAUGGUGCUUGCACUAUCACUUAGCGGCGGACGGGUGAGUAAUGCUUAGGAAUCUGCCUAUUAGUGGGGGACAACAUCUCGAAAGGGAUGCUAAUACCGCAUACGUCCUACGGGAGAAAGCAGGGGAUCACUUGUGACCUUGCGCUAAUAGAUGAGCCUAAGUCGGAUUAGCUAGUUGGUGGGGUAAAGGCCUACCAAGGCGACGAUCUGUAGCGGGUCUGAGAGGAUGAUCCGCCACACUGGGACGGGGACACGACCCAGACUCCUACGGGAGGCAGCAGUGGGGAAUAUUGGACAAUGGGGGGAACCCUGAUCCAGCCGUGCCGCGUGUGUGAAGAAGGCCUUAUGGUUGUAAAGCACUUUAAGCGAGGAGGAGGCUCUUUUGGUUAAUACCCAAGAUGAGUGGACGUUACUCGCAGAAUAAGCACCGGCUAACUCUGUGCCAGCCGCCGCCGUAA